GGUUCUAUAGUGUAGUGGUUAUCACACAGGAUUCUGAUUCCUGUAACCCUGGUUUGAUUCCAGGUAGGACCU
rnacentral:tRNA from 1 species